rnacentral:rRNA from 1 species
UGGGGAAGUCUUGCGCAAUGGGCGGAGGCCUGACGCAGCAACGCCGCGUGUGGGAAGACGGCCUUCGGUUGUAACACUUCAGGGGACGCGGUACCCCACGAAGAAGCCCCGGCUAACUACGUGCCAGCAGCCGCGGUAAUACGUAGGGGGCGAGCGUUGUCCGGAAUCAUUGGGCGUAAAGCGCGUGUAGGCGGCUCGAUCAGUCUGGUGUGAAACCUUGGGGCUCAACCCCAAGCCUGCACUGGAUACUGUCGAGCUUGAGUCCGGGAGGGGAGAGCGGAAUUCCUAGUGUAGCGGUGAAAUGCGCAGAUAUUAGGAAGAACACCGGUGGCGAAGGCGGCUCUCUGGAACGGUACUGACGCUGAGACGCG